rnacentral:misc_RNA from 1 species
GGCGGUGUCGCGGCUCGGGCU